UACGAAGGGGGCUAGCGUUGUUCGGAUUUACUGGGCGUAAAGCGCACGUAGGCGGGUCGUUAAGUCAGGGGUGAAAUCCUGGAGCUCAACUCCAGAACUGCCUUUGAUACUGAGGAUCUUGAGUUCGGGAGAGGUGAGUGGAACUGCGAGUGUAGAGGUGAAAUUCGUAGAUAUUCGCAAGAACACCAGUGGCGAAGGCGGCUCACUGGCCCGAUACUGACGCUGAGGCUCGAAAGCGUGGGGAGCAAACAGG
rnacentral:rRNA from 1 species